GCCCGCCUAGCUCAAUCGGAUAGAGCGUCAGACUUUUACGAUUGUUGGAUCCCAUCUGACGUAAUCUGAAGGCUGCGAGUUCGACCCUCGCGGUGGGCU